UGAUAAAUGUUGGCAUUAUACCCAUAUAAGCAUUCAUCAAAGGAAUGCCAUUUCAAUUUCUGUUAAUUUCAUAGGUGCAUGUAUCAAAAAUAUUAUGUUCUAAUAACUAUAUUGUAACGUACUUGAUAUGAUUGUAAAUAUAUAUGUUUGAAUUUCCCCCUUUUCUUUUUACUCUCUAAACCUGUCACUGGAGUGACGUGUACACGGUAAAUUUUAAAUACCGCACUCCAGUCCGUGCAGUCCAGCAGAGUGGACGUGUGUCUAUUUAGAGGCACGUGGUAGUCACCAAGAUUGGGAAACUUCUCCCUACUUUGUUCAUUUCCGUAUGUUUGUCACCAAUUUCAAGAAAUUGUGUUAAAGGGGAUGACGGUUUAUACCAGCUGAAUUGUGACUACGAAGUCGGAGACGAGUACGGAGCGCCAGACCCGCCAUUUUUCAUCCAUAUCGGGGACACGUGGCGUCGAUGUACGUGUAUGGUGACCGGGAGCGGUCUACGCUGGAGACGUUUGUAUAUGUGUGUUGUGUUGUGGUGUCCUAACGUACCGGAGCAACGGUUGUGUCAUCUGUCCGUGUGUCUGUGUGUCCGUGUGUUUGUCUAUGUGAUGUCCGGGGUUUGGGUGAAAAGUCACCGGAAAUAUACCGAGGAACCAGGAAAGGAAAUGUGACGAAAUUUAUUAAAAUUUCACUUUCAUUGUUUUGAAUAUUUGUUUCUCGUAUAAUUGUAGUGAUAUUUUUGUGAAAUUGAUUUGAAAGUUGAUAAACGAGUUUAAGGAAAUUAUUUGAAAAUCUAAAUAUAUUUGAAUCAAUUUAAGUGUUUAAAUUUUGGAAAGAAUAUUUGGUUUUGAAGUCAAUUUAAAGAUUUGUUAUUGAAAUUAGAGUCGACUCUGUGUGUUAGAAUCUGGUUUAAUAUUUCUUUCAUUUAUUUUUUUUUCUUAUAUGUAUUUUUUUUCUUAUUAAAUAUUUGUUUGUUUA